CAUGUAGGCGGCUUAAUAAGUCGAGCGUGAAAAUGCGGGGCUCAACCCCGUAUGGCGCUGGAAACUGUUAGGCUUGAGUGCAGGAGAGGAAAGGGGAUUUCCCAGUGUAGCGGUGAAAUGCGUAGAUAUUGGGAGGAACACCAGUGGCGAAGGCGCCUUUCUGGACUGUGUCUGACGCUGAGAUGCGAAAGCCAGGGUAGCGAACG
rnacentral:rRNA from 1 species